AGCAUUCUCAACAGUGAACAACAUUAAAUUGCAAAAUCACUCUGCCUUGACUGAUAAUCAUCUGAACAACUGCGUCCAUCUUGCCUUGACUGAAGUCACUCCAAACUUCAAGGCCCUUGUCCAGUGGAGGACCUGUCAUUUCUCCUACUGAUACAAAGAGCAGAACUGGAGUUGACCUCUGCUGAGAGAGAUGAUUGGGAGCUGCUGCCAGAAGAGGAGCGUGUACAAGGCAAAGAGUUCAACCCCUGUCAGGAGCAGGAGGGGAGUGGAAGCAGCUGGAUGAAAGAAGAUAAGGGGAAGAAGAAAUGGAGCAGCCUGACUUAUUUGGAAAACUAUUUGUUGUGAAUAUUUCCACAUGUUAAUCACUAUGGGGCUCUAUGUCUCGAGAAUAAAACCUCAGGGAGGAACAUUUAAUGGUCCUGUGGGUUCGCUCUGCCAAUUUACAAUUGCCAACUUUUUUUUUUUUUAAGUCAGGUGUUAGUUUUAAAUCACUGGCUACCUGCAUCUGAUAGGAUUCUUGUCAGAAGGGCCCAGAUUUUCAAAAUACUGAUCACAUUCACCAGGACAGAGACACUUGCUUCAAGGAGCACAGCUUUUUGCUAGACAUUAUCCUCUCAUUUUGACUAUAUAAAUAAGGCAUUUGCAUGGAGAAACAAGGUUUAAAAAACUAGACUGAAUCCAGUAUGAAAUAGGAAUGGUUCACUGGUCUUGCAGUGUUGCUGAUCCUCAUGAUUUUAUCACAAGUCUUGCAAUGUUGGUAUUUUUCUUCAAAUCCCAGUUGCUAGAGUCACGAAUGUGAGAAUCUCUGCUUUCAGUGAAAUAAAAUGUUUGUGGCCCUCAUGGUGGUGGAGAAAAAUCUUAAAAACAUGAGCCCUAAAGUGCAAGAACCAGAAGGCAAAUAAAACUCACAAAUCUAUUAUUUUUAUAAUCUUGUGAUGCUUAAGCCAUUAGAAAUGGAAGGUUCCCUAAAAUACUAAAAAAUUGGAUACUGAAAUAAGUUAGUGAGGUGUGACGGAGUGGAUGUUGUUAAAAACAAUGGAGCUGCUGACUUUAUCACUUCAGAUUUAUUUGUUAUUUCUGUAUCAGUACACAAGUAAAAUAGAAAGCUCAGGUUCUCAAAUGCAGCCAUUCUUUCUCAUCACUCAGCCAUAAAUAUAAACAUUGACCUUGUACUACAAUAACAAUACCAGUCAGGUCAUCUUCAAUGGGACUUCAGUUAACUUCAAUUUAAAGUAGAUCAAGUGUUAGCCAGAAAAGAAAAAAGUAAAAACUAAUGCUCGACUAUUGUUUUUUCUAAUAAAAUAAUUUUAUUUCU